rnacentral:rRNA from 1 species
GACGAAGGGGGCUAGCGUUGUUCGGAAUUACUGGGCGUAAAGCGCGUGUAGGCGGUUGUCCAAGUUGGAUGUGAAAGCCUUGAGCUCAACUCAAGAAAUGCAUUCAGGACUGGAUGACUAGAGGACCGGAGAGGAUAGUGGAAUUCCCAGUGUAGUGGUGAAAUACGUAGAGAUUGGGAAGAACACCAGUGGCGAAGGCGGCUAUCUGGACGGUUUCUGACGCUAAGGCGCGAAAGCUAGGGGAGCAAACGGGG